GGGCCCGCACAAGCAGUGGAGUAUGUGGUUUAAUUCGAAGCAACGCGAAGAACCUUACCAGGUCUUGACAUCGAGUGACGAAUGCAGAGAUGCAUUCUCCCUUCGGGGCACAAAGACAGGUGGUGCAUGGUUGUCGUCAGCUCGUGUCGUGAGAUGUUGGGUUAAGUCCCGCAACGAGCGCAACCCUUAUGAUUAGUUGCUACGCAAGAGCACUCUAAUCAGACUGCCGUUGACAAAACGGAGGAAGGUGGGGAUGACGUCAAAUCAUCAUGCCCUUUAUGACCUGGGCUACACACGUACUACAAUGGCAUUUAACAACGAGGAGCGACCCCGCGAGGGUGAGCAAAUCUCCAAAAAGUGACCUCAGUUCGGAUUGUAGGCUGAAACUCGCCUACAUGAAGUCGGAAUUGCUAGUAAUCGCAGAUCAGCAUGCUG
rnacentral:rRNA from 1 species